rnacentral:rRNA from 1 species
GCCUGUGCGGUACGAUUCGUAGGUGUGCUGCGGACCUAAAACGUUGCUUCGGGCGGGAACAGACGGCCCUGUAACAACGGGCCGCCCCCGCCAGAGGACCCCUAACUCUGUUUUUAUAAUGUUUUUCUGAGUAAACAAGCAAAUAAAUUAAAACUUUCAACAACGGAUCUCUUGGCUCUGGCAUCGAUGAAGAACGCAGCGAAAUGCGAUAAGUAAUGUGAAUUGCAGAAUUCAGUGAAUCAUCGAAUCUUUGAACGCACAUUGCGCCCGCCAGUAUUCUGGCGGGCAUGCCUGUUCGAGCGUCAUUACAACCCUCAGGCCCCCGGGCCUGGCGUUGGGGAUCGGCGGAAGCCCCCUGUGGGCACACGCCGUCCCUCAAAUACAGUGGCGGUCCCGCCGCAGCUUCCAUUGCGUAGUAGCUAACACCUCGCAACUGGAGAGCGGCGCGGCCAUGCCGUAAAACACCCAACUUCUGAAUGUUGACCUCGAAUCAGGUAGGAAUACCCGCUGAACUUAAGCAUAUCAAUAAGCGGAGGAA